UACGGGGGGUGCUAGCGUUGUUCGGAAUCAUUGGGCGUAAAGCGCGCGCAGGCGGCCAGACAAGUCGGCUGUGAAAGCCCUCGGCUCAACCGAGGAAUAGCGGUCGAAACUGUUUGGCUUGAGUACGAGAGAGGGUAGCGGAAUUCCCGGUGUAGAGGUGAAAUUCGUAGAUAUCGGGAGGAACACCAGUGGCGAAGGCGGCUACCUGGCUCGAUACUGACGCUGAGGCGCGAAAGCGUGGGGAGCAAACAGG
rnacentral:misc_RNA from 1 species